GACUUAGUGGCGGACGGGUGAGUAACGCGUGGGGUAACCUGCCGUACACAGGGGGACAACAGUUGGAAACGGCUGCUAAUACCGCAUAAGCGCACAGUGACCGCAGUGGCGCAGUGUGAAAAAGCCGAGACGGUGUACGAUGGACCCGCGUCUGAUUAGGUAGUUGGUGAGGUAACGGCCCACCAAGCCGACGAUCAGUAGCCGGCCUGAGAGGGUGAACGGCCACAUUGGGACUGAGACACGGCCCAAACUCCUACGGGAGGCAGCAGUGGGGAAUAUUGCACAAUGGGGGGAACCCUGAUGCAGCGAACCGCCGCGUGAGUGAAGAAGUAUUUCGGUAUGUAAAGCUCUAUCAGCAGGGAAGAAGAUGACGGUACCUGCACAAGAAGCCCCGGCUAACUACGUGCCAGCAGCCGC
rnacentral:rRNA from 1 species